UACGUAGGUGGCAAGCGUUGUCCGGAUUUACUGGGCGUAAAGAGCGCGCAGGCGGUCGUUCAAGUCGAGUGUGAAAGCCCCCGGCUCAACUGGGGAGGGUCACUCGAUACUGAUCGACUCGAAGGCAGAAGAGGGAAGCGGAAUUCCCGGUGUAGUGGUGAAAUGCGUAGAUAUUGGGAGGAACACCAGUGGCGAAGGCGGCUCACUGGACCGGUACUGACGCUGAGGCGCGAAAGCGUGGGGAGCAAACGGG
rnacentral:rRNA from 1 species